GAUAAACGCUGGCGGCGUGCCUAAAACAUGCAAGUCGAACGGCUUAUGCCUUCGGGUAUAGGUAGUGGCGGACGGCUGAGUAACACGUGGGUGACCUGCCCUCGAGCGGGGGAUAACUGCCCGAAAGGGUGGCUAAUACCGCAGACAUCAUGGAUUCGGUUCCAUGAUUGAACCUCUGGGGUUCGAGGAGGGGCCUGCGCCCGAUUAGCUAGCUGGUGGGGUAACGGCCUACCAGGGCAUCGAUCGGUAGCUGGUCUGAGAGGAUGAUCAGCCAGACUGGGACUGCGGAACGGCCCAGACUCCUACGGGGAGGCAGCAGUUAGGAAUUUUGGCAAUGGGCGAAAGCCUGACCCAGCAACGCCGCGUGGGU
rnacentral:rRNA from 1 species